UUCGCCCCUUCUUGGAGAAAAUAAAUUAAAGGUGGAAUGCAUAUCUGCAGAGCUGUGGACUACAAAGAUACUACUGGCGCCAGUAAGUGAGGAACUUUGAUUGUUCAAUUGAAAAACAGCUUGUUGAAAACUCUCUGCAAAAUCUACUAGGAGUUAUCAAAGACUAUUCCAUUGUGAAGUUGUGGCUCACACGUACAAGCGGAGAUCAUACCCUGACUAUUACGCGGGACGCCGCGGAUUGCUGAUCUGAGCCGCCUAAGUACAUUUAUUAUG